UCACCAGACUCCUACGGGAGGCAGCAGUGGGGAAUAUUGCACAAUGGGGGAAACCCUGAUGCAGCGACGCCGCGUGAAGGAUGAAGUAUUUCGGUAUGUAAACUUCUAUCAACAGGGAAGAAAAUGACGGUACCUGACUAAGAAGCCCCGGCUAACUACGUGCCAGCAGCCGCGGUAAUACGUAGGGGGCAAGCGUUAUCCGGAUUUACUGGGUGUAAAGGGAGCGUAGACGGCAUGGCAAGUCUGAUGUGAAAGCCCGGGGCUCAACCCCGGGACUGCAUUGGAAACUGUCAGGCUAGAGUGUCGGAGAGGCAAGUGGAAUUCCUAGUGUAGCGGUGAAAUGCGUAGAUAUUAGGAGGAACACCAGUGGCGAAGGCGGCUUGCUGGACGAUGACUGACGUUGAGGCUCGAAAGCGUGGGGAGCAAACAGGAUUAGAUACCCUUGUA
rnacentral:rRNA from 1 species